UAACUGUUAAUUAUUACUAUAAAUUGUUUCUGUUAUUUUUUGUCUAUUAAUUUUCUGAUAUUUACAUAUUUUUUACACCCAAUUAUUUGUUUAUUAAUGAAGGUUUUAAUGGUCAAAACUGAGGAUUGUGAAUACAUUGUGGCUCUGUAUGAGUGUCAAAAGAUAUGGUUUGCCUUCAUCAAAGAUGGACUUGUAUGAAAAAACUGAGCAACUAGACAAAUUCACAAGAUCAAUCCGCUGAAUAAUGGACAUCGUGUGUGUUAGUUUUCAACAAGAGUGGACGUAUUGGUGGUGACAUACUUCAACCAAUUGAUGAUAACCGUUUAAUUUGGUGAAUUGCCAAAAUUUGUCCGUGUCAAAGAUUGAUGUGGUUACCAAAAAGGAUCGUCUGCUUCACGUUUAGGAAACCUCGAUGCUUUAAGAUAUUUCCCGCUCCUUGGACAGAUCUCUCACAUGACUGAAUUCAUGUUAUGUUCUAUAAGUUAUGCAUUCCUUUUACUGAACACGAAGGCCUCUACAUUUUUCACCCAAUGUGAGUCGAUACUCAAGCUGUCCACUUGUUCAUUACUCCUCGCUGCAUUUUUGGUAGGCUACAGCAGUAAUGUGGUAUAACAUGGUUCCGAUGAGACAAUUGGUCAAAAAGAAUCAAGAUAAGUCCGAUUUUAUGAUAAUUUGAAUAUUAAUUACCUUUUAAUGUGUCUAUAAUUGCAAUUAAUGAGUUUUUUAUUUUCUUUUAUUGUUAAAAUCUUAAACUAUUGUGUUUUAUGAUCAUCUUAAAGUCUGCCUACUAGAUUUUAUUCAGAUUGCACUGAACUUUUACUGCUGGAAUCAACAGUUAAAUCUAUUCAAUUGUUCAACUCAUUAUGGAGGUGUGUGUAUCACAUGGAUGCUACAAAUGUUAUAAUGGCGUAUUUAAGUCGAUUGUUGGUAAACUUGUUCUCGUCUAUAUGACUUUAAGGAUUUGGAAAGAAACAAGAUAUUUCGUUAAGCCGAUUAGAUGAUUGAAUUGAGUGUUGUCUGUGAAACGGAGCUCAUUACAAAUUUGUAUUGCAAAUGGAUUUUGGUCUAUAAAAUACCUUUUCAAGGCAAAAGCUCAUGGAAUCAACUUGAAAAUCAUUGAUUUUAAUGUACUUAAAAACGUGAACAUUAAAACUGGCUGAGGAUGAAUGGUAAAGGGAAAGCUUUCAAUUCAACUUGAAACCCAUCAAAAUGAUCCUCAAUCGUAUGGGCCAGCAAAAAAAAGAUUUCGCUCGGAUGAAAAUUAAUGAUCCUAAUAAUGACAAUCCCUGGUUGAUUGUUGAUCAACAACUUAACCCAGUUUGCUUUUCAAUGCUCAAUUGAAUGUAUUGUGUGAGUGUGUUGCCAUUGUUAACAUAUUCAAUUGCUAAUUUGACUUACCUCUGUAACUUAAAAUCAUUGUUAACCAAGCAUUCCUAACUGUAACCAUAUUAUUGUUAAUAUAAUUUUAAUCUUAUUAUUUAAGGUUAAUGACAUUCCUCUUGGUGAUUAAACCAACAGACUUGAUCAAUUACAAAAUGGUAGCAUCAAGUGUCUCAAUUGAUAUGGAAAAGUUGCUCAUUUUACUGUUUACAGCAAUUAUUCUUGCCAAUAAAAUCAUCAAGAUCAACUGGUUAAAUCAGUUCAAGAUUCAUAAUUGAUCAAUGUGAGUUAAAAUGGGUAAAUAAUGGGUUGAAAUGGGAUUCUUGGUGUAAUUUCAUCUAAUAUUGUAUCAAGAUCAGUCUGACUACGAGUCAGCUUUUACAGACAUUGCUUGGUUACAAUUGAUAUUUGCUGUCUAAGAUUGCCUGUUGCAUUGGAGCGCAUUUAUUAUGGCAAACACUUGAAUAUUUUGACUUCACUAAACAAUUUAAUGUUUCAAUUUGUAUUAUCUCAAGGAUUCAGGGCAAAUUACAUCAAUUACAAUGAAUUAAUGUAAACAGUGAAAUCGGGUUCAACCCAAUUUAACCUUCAACCCAAUCAUUAAUUUGUUGCUACAGACAUCUUACAUUCCAAUGUUAAUAUUUAAGGUUGUUUGCCUUAUGGUAUGAGAAUAAAUUGAAUUAA